ACCAGCCUCCCCCAAGAAUCGUGCAUAUAUACACAUCCACACGCCAGCCCAAUGCCACCCACGUGGGACCAUUGAUUUCACUACCUCCAGGCUUUCUCAGGCUAUCAAGGGAAAAGAGGCCAAUAAUGGGAAGAAAGAAACCCCCAGCCCCCCCAACUUAUGAAGAUGGAAACUGGUGAUCUAGGAUUCCCAGAAAGGGUAGAGAAAAACUCACUUAGCCUCCUAGAUUCACAGAACUAGCACGCUUCACGUCCUCAUCUGCCGAGCCCUCCAUCAACAGCACUCUGACUCUCAUUCCCACAGCCACGGCCAGGUGCUGCAUGCCUGAUGUGGACUACACACACGUGAGUGUGCACACACCAGCCUGGGUGCCACCCACUUAGGUCCGAGGCACUCAGAAGGGCCAGCCCUCCCUCCUCUUUCGUCUCCGAUCUCGUCUGGGAAAAGCACAGACGUGGCUCUUGAGGCAGGAGCAGCCCCGGAACAAGAACUUGGUCUCAUUGUUUGUGGCCACCGCUGAUGGGUCCCAAAAAGGCAGAGGACAAAGUGCUCACUCUGGAGGCAGAGCCACCUGUCCCCUGAAGGGCACGCACAACCUCCCUGUAAAACGUUUUAACCUCAGGCAAGUGAGAAGCAGCCACAUGCUCAACAAUGGAACUCGGUACCUUUUCCAAAGGUCUACUAUGCGAGAGUCAUCUUUGAAGAAAACUAAACUGCAAUGAAAUCAUCACAAUAAAUGUCAGUACUAGGAAUAACACCUCAGGUGUUUUGUGCCAGGCCUGUGUUAGCAAGGGCAUGGCCAAGCUUUUCUUUAGCCUCACAAGGCUGAGGUAGGUCAAAUUACCACCAACUGUGCUAUCCUAUUUUAUGUUUUUUCUUUCAUUUUCCUCCUUUUUUGGCCACACCCACAGCAUGCAGAUGUUCCCAGCCCAGGGAUCGAACCCGCGUCACGGCAGGGACUCGAGCCGCUGUGACAGGAGAACUCCAGGGCUGUCACAUUUGAAAUACUGACACGCAGUUAUGCCCAUGCUCUGCCACGGAAGGGUAACAUGUAGUUCCAUAAGAUAGUAAUCAUUUAUUCACUCUAAUUGACACCAAAUACAGGAUUCAAAAAUAUUUAAGACGUGUGUAAGAAUCAAGAUUUUUUUUAAUAGGGACACUGCAUUAGUCGGCCAGGGCUGCCAUAACAAAGUACCACAGGUUGAGUGCCAUAAGAGAAACUGAUUCUCACACAGCACCGAAGGUGCAAGAGCCCAAGAUCAAGGUGUCAGCAAGGUUCAUUUCUUUAGAGGCUGCUUUCCUUGACUUACAAACAGCAGCAUUCUUGCUGCCUCUUUUUUUUUUUUUUUUUUNNNNNNNNNNNNNNNNNNNNNNNNNNNNNNNNNNNNNNNNNNNNNNNNNNNNNNNNNNNNNNNNNNNNNNNNNNNNNNNNNNNNNNNNNNNNNNNNNNNNNNNNNNNNNNNNNNNNNNGUGACCUACACCACAGCUCACAGCAACGCUGGAUCCUUAACCCACUGAGCAAGGCCAGGGAUCGAACCCGCAACCUCAUGGUUCCUGGUUGGAUUCGUUAACCACUGCGCCACGAUGGGAACUCCUUUUGCUGCCUCUUUGACAGGGUUGUCCCUGUGGGCUUUCGAGGCCCCGUAAUCCAAAUUUCCUCUUUUAAGAGUUCAGAGAUUAGAGCCUAAUCUUGAGCCUCCUUUUAACUUAAUCACCCUUUUAAAGACCUUAUCUCUAAAUAACAUCACAUUCUGAGGUACUAAGGUUCAACAUAUGAAUUCAAGCCAUAUCAGACACCCAUAUUCCCCAGAGGUUAAAGGAAUUGAACAUCUGUAGCCCUUCUGUGGGUUCUUGCUGAAUGACAACCCUCUUCCCAUGCUACUAAUUUUCAUUCUGCAAUUCUUUAUAGUUUUAACCAACUGCAUUUGACAUCUUAAAAGUCUUAAAGCUAUAAAUUUCCCUCUAAGGGGUCCUUUAGCUGCAUCCCCCACACAUUUUGAUAUACUGGAUAUGUUUUAUUAUCAUUUCAAGUUAUUCUUUGACCUAUGGGUUGAGAAAUGUGUUGUUUGAUUUCCAAAUGUGGGGGAAUUUUCUAAAUGGCUGUUAUUAACCUCUGAUUUUGCUGUUUUCAGGAAACAUACUUUGAUUUCAAUUCCUUUUAAAUUACAGAGAUUUAUUUGAUGUCUCAGCAUAUGGUCUCACAUUUGGAAUUUUUAAAAAAUUAGCAUAAUUUAAUAUAGCUACAUUCACUGUGGCUAAGUUGAUUCAAAGUAUCAUUUAUAAGACUGCUUAAGUACAAGCAACUAAAAGCAAAUAUUAUUUAAGUAACUGAAAUUUUUGUUGCUACUUGUGAAAAAUGGACAAGAUAUUUAUUUUAAGUGACGUAAGUGCUCUUUUUCCCAAAGUACUGACUAAAAGAGGCUGAAAAUAGUAUAACCACGUUUUAGCAUUAUAACAUGUUUAAAACAGACCAUGUAAUUUCGAAAUCAGCUAAUAAUCACAUGCAUAGCCUACCUGUAGCGGUCCAGUACUAGGGGAUAGAUGGACCAAGAAAUCUUAAAACUUACCCAGGAAAAAUUGAGUUGGACUGGAAUUUGAGACUUAAGAAAUAUUUGGUAAGAUGUCCAACAUCAAGCUUUAUAUAUAAAAUUUAUAUACAAUAAAAAUGUAAACCGGAGUUCCCAUUAUGGUGUACUGGGAUUGUAGCUUCCCUGCAGCACUGCACAUAGGUUCAAUCCCUGUCCAGCACAGUGGGUUAAGGAUCUGGCAUUGCUGCAGAUGCGUAGUAGGUUGCAAAUGCAGCUUGGAUCUGAUCCUUAGCCCAGGAACUCCAUAUGCUUCAG
rnacentral:lncRNA from 1 species